UCGGGAAUUUUGGGCAAUGGGCGAAAGCCUGACCCAGCAACGCCGCGUGAGGGAUGAAGUAUUUCGGUAUGUAAACCUCGAAAGAAUGGGAAGAAUAAAUGACGGUACCAUUUAUAAGCUCCGGCUAACUACGUGCCAGCAGCCGCGGUAAUACGCAGGGAGCAAGCGUUGUUCGGAUUUACUGGGCGUAAAGGGCGCGUAGGCGGCGCGGUAAGUCACUUGUGAAAUCUCUGAGCUUAACUCAGAACGGCCAAGUGAUACUGCUGUGCUAGAGUGCGGAAGAGGCAACCGGAAUUCUUGGCGUGCGGUGAAAUGCGUAGAUAUCAAGAGGAACACCUGAGGCGAAGGCGGGUUGCUGGGCCGACACUGACGCUGAUGCGCGAAAGCCAGGGGAGCAAACG
rnacentral:rRNA from 1 species